CAGUAGCCGCGGGAACACGUAGGGUGCGAGCGUUAAUCGGAAUUACUGGGCGUAAAGCGUGCGCAGGCGGUUUUGUAAGACAGGCGUGAAAUCCCCGGGCUCAACCUGGGAAUGGCGCUUGUGACUGCAAAGCUAGAGUGCGGCAGAGGGGGAUGGAACUCCGCGUGUAGCAGUGAAAUGCGUAGAUAUGCGGAGGAACACCGAUGGCGAAGGCAAUCCCCUGGGCCUGCACUGACGCUCAUGCACGAAAGCGUGGGGAGCAAACAGGAUUAGAUACCCCAGUAGUCCCUGUCCUUAUACA
rnacentral:rRNA from 1 species